rnacentral:rRNA from 1 species
AGCAGUAGCCGCGGUAAUGCGUAGGUGGCAAGCGUUGUCCGGAAUUAUUGGGCGUAAAGCGCGCGCAGGCGGCCUAUCCAGUCUGUCUUAAAAGUUCGGGGCUCAACCCCGUGGUGGGAUGGAAACUAGUAGGCCAGAGUAUCGGAGAGGAAAGCGGAAUUCCUAGUGUAGCGGUGAAAUGCGUAGAUAUUAGGAAGAACACCAGUGGCGAAGGCGACUUUCUGGACGAAAACUGACGCUGAGGCGCGAAAGCCAGGGGAGCGAACGGGAUUAGAUACCCCAGUAGUCCCUGUCUCUUAUACA